rnacentral:lncRNA from 1 species
AAUCAUUAUAUGUAGUAGUUUCCUAUUUUCAUGCUAUUUAACAAAGUUUUGAUUCAAUCAAUCGGUUUACUAAAACUACAUGUAUUAACUUUCAUAUAAAGUGUUUUACCUUAUCAGAUUUUUAUUAACCUUGUAUUUAAAGUAUGACAAAUAAAAAUUUACUUAUCUUAAUAACGAGAAGGGCAAUAGAGAUCGGAGAUCCAACCAUUCAUAUUUUUUUCAGCUGUUUAUAAUCUCAUAUUAUAUCAUCUCCUUCAUAAUAAGUAGAUAAUCCUGAAAUAUUAUAAACUUGCUCAUAUAAAUAUGGCUAUUAUGU